rnacentral:rRNA from 1 species
GCGUAAGCGCACGCAGGCGGUCUGUUAAGUCAGAUGUGAAAUCCCCGGGCUUAACCUGGGAACUGCAUUUGAAACUGGCAGGCUUGAGUCUCGUAGAGGGGGGUAGAAUUCCAGGUGUAGCGGUGAAAUGCGUAGAGAUCUGGAGGAAUACCGGUGGCGAAGGCGGCCCCCUGGACGAAGACUGACGCUCAGGUGCGAAAGCGUGGGGAGCAAACAGGAUUAGAUACCCUGGUAGUCCACGCCGUAAACGAUGUCGACUUGGAGGUUGUGCCCUUGAGGCGUGGCUUCCGGAGCUAACGCGUUAAGUCGACCGCCUGGGGAGUACGGCCGCAAGGUUAAAACUCAAAUGAAUUGACGGGGGCCCGCACAAGCGGUGGAGCAUGUGGUUUAAUUCGAUGCAACGCGAAGAACCUUACCUGGCCUUGACAUCCAGAGAACUUAGCAGAGAUGCUUUGGUGCCUUCGGGAACUCUGAGACAGGUGCUGCAUGGCUGUCGUCAGCUCGUGUUGUGAAAUGUUGGGUUAAGUCCCGCAACGAGCGCAACCCUUAUCCUUUGUUGCC